rnacentral:rRNA from 1 species
GAACGAACAAUAGUGUAGAUGUGUAUUGGAGACGGUAGUAUACCAUUAUGACCUAAUGGUAUACUACUACAAUAUGCAACACCGACCGCCAAUUACGGAUGUUGGUUCCGUAUUGGGGUACUGAUUAAGAGGAGCGGUUGGGGGCAUUGGUAUUUGGCAGCGAGAGGUGAAAUUCUUGGACCUGCCAAGGACUAACAAAUGCGAAGGCAUUUGUCCAGACCGUAUCCAUUAAUCAAGAACGAUAGUGAGAGGUUCGAAGACGAUCAGAUACCGUCCUAGUUCUCACUGUAAACUAUGCCGACCCGGGAUUAGUCCUAUGCCUUAUUAAUACGGCUUGGGUUGGUCCCCCUGGGAAACCUAAAGUUUUUCGGUUGCGGGGGGAGUAUGGUCGCAAGGCUGAAACUUAAAGGAAUUGACGGAAGGGCACCACCAGGGGUGGAGCCUGCGGCUUAAUUUGACUCAACACGGGAAAACUUACCAGAUCAGGACAUCAAAAGGAUUGUCAGACCGAAGAUCUUACAUGAUCUGGUGAUUGGUGGUGCAUGGCCGUUCUUAGUUCGUGAAGUGAUUUGUCAGGUUAAUUCCGGUAACGGACGAGAUCACAAUCUCCAUUUGACGAACUGGAGUAAAUGCAAACAGUCGAAAUUUGUGGUAAAACAUGAAUAGCGAUGUGUUGGCAUUGAUGGUAGGAUGUGAAAGAAGUAGUGAAAGGAGUAAGGGUAUGGAAACAUAUGCUUAUGAAUGGAGCUAUGUAAGUUGCAUUCUCCCUCCAGUCAAACAUUGCAUAGUUAGCUUUUAGCUGUGUGGUGUAUCAUGGAGAGACAACGGAACAUAAUCAAAAUCCGAGGAAGUGUGGCUAUAACAGGUCUGUGAUGCCCUUAGAUGUUCUGGGCUGCACGCGCGCUACAAUGGCGACGACAACGAGUGUCUGAAUCGAAAGAUUUGGGUAAUCUUGCAAUCGUCGCCGUGAUGGGGAUUGACGUUUGUAAUUACGUCAUGAAAGAGGAAUCCCUAGUACGUGCGAUUCAUUAAAUCGCGCGGAUUUAGUCCCUGCCCUUUGUACACACCGCCCGUCGCUACUACCGAGUGAAUGGUGUCAUAAUGCCUUGGGAGCGGACGUCGUUCGAACCUUGUGUUCGAUUAGAUGCUGCGAUCA